UUCCUGCAACCAUAUUUAGAGGACCUCUAACAGUAUAAAAAGGGGUGGAGAGUCAAUGGCUCCAGACAGGUUUUCUAUUGUACAUCAAAUAGUAAGCAAUCAAGGACGCCUCAGACUUCAUGAAAGCCUGGUCUUAUUAACAAUUCCUUCAGGCACGCGGGGUGCACUUUUGCUCAUUAUUGACUAUAAUGUAGCAGACAGGAGACAAGUGUUUGAUGUUAAACGGUAACUGUGAAGGAGGCUGAUGUUCAUCCUCAUAACCCGGGCUGGGCCUCGGGCCUGUUUUAGGCUUCUCUGGAUCAUUUGGAGACCAUGAAGAGAUGAAACAAGAACCUCCAAGAGGAGAUUGCUGAUCUCACUGAACAAAUUGGUGAGAGUGGAAAGAACAUUCAUGAAC